AGUGAGCGAAUCCCAAAAAGUGCGUCGUAGUCCGGAUCGGAGUCUGCAACUCGACUCCGUGAAGUCGGAAUCGCUAGUAAUCGUGGAUCAGAAUGCCACGGUGAAUACGUUCCCGGGCCUUGUACACACCGCCCGUCACACCAUGGGAGUGGGCUGCAAAAGAAGUAGGUAGUUUAACCUUCGGGAGGACGCUUACCACUUUGUGGUUCAUGACUGGGGUGAAGUCGUAACAAGGUAGCGCUAGGGGAACCUGGCGCUGGAUCACCUCCUUAUACGA
rnacentral:rRNA from 1 species